rnacentral:rRNA from 1 species
GACGAACGCUGGCGGCGUGCUUAACACAUGCAAGUCGAACGGUAAGGCCCUUCGGGGUACACGAGUGGCGAACGGGUGAGUAACACGUGGGUGAUCUGCCCUGCACUUCGGGAUAAGCCUGGGAAACUGGGUCUAAUACCGGAUAGGACUCCUGGCUUCAUGGUUGGGGGUGGAAAGCUUUUGCGGUGUGGGAUGGGCCCGCGGCCUAUCAGCUUGUUGGUGGGGUAAUGGCCUACCAAGGCGACGAAGGGUAGCCGGCCUGAGAGGGUGACCGGUCACACUGGGACUGAGAUACUGCCCAGACUCCUACGGGAGGCAGCAGUGGGGAAUAUUGCACAAUGGGCGCAAGCCUGAUGCAGCGACGCCGCGUGUGGGAUGACGGCCUUCGGGUUGUAAACCUCUUUCAGCUAUGACGAAGCGCAAGUGACGGUAGUAGCAGAAGAAGGACCGGCCAACUACGUGCCAGCCGCCGCGGUAA